AGUGCGAUAGCUGGUCAAAUGGUGGUUCCAUUCCAAGUUUUCUGAGGAAUCACUACACUGCUUUCCAGAUUGGUUGCACCAAUUGCAGUCCCACCAGCAAU
rnacentral:pre_miRNA from 1 species